GUCUACAGCCACGCCACCCUGUACACGCCCUCUCUCAUCUGAUCUCGGAAGCUAAGUAGGGUUGGGCCUGGUUAGUACUUGGAUAGGAGACCAUUUUGGAAGACCAGGUGCUGCAGGCA
rnacentral:rRNA from 1 species